ACCGCAGUUCCUGCUGCCAUCGAGGAACUACUCCAUCACGGUGGCAACUCACCCCACUACCAACUACAAGAAGGUAGCGAUUUAGACCUUACCUGCAUGGCCAGCGGACGGCCCUCUGCCUACAGUCACAUGGAAAUAUCAAGGAAAAGUGCUUAGCGCCGAAGAGUCAAUCGUUGAUGUUUACCAGAAGGUAUCCAGCGUUCAUCGGAUCGUUGGUGCCCGCAGACUGGAUGCCGGCUCUUACAUUUGCGAGGCGGAUAACGGCGUUGAUCUCCCAGCAACUGCUACAUUCAAUGUCGAGAUUGCUCAUGCUCCGGAGAUUGCGGUAGAACACACUUGGGUUCAUACAGGAUUGGGAGCGCUGACUGAGCUUGCGUGCACGGUGUACGCUCAACCAGCGGCUCAGGUGACGUGGUUCCGGUCAGUUGAAGGUGUCGGAAACGGUGAAGGUGAAAGAAAGCAUCUAGAAGUCCUUCCUUCGAAUCGAAUUGGAACACUGGUUAUGUCUAACUGGCCGAAGCAAUGUUCGCUUCAAGAGCGUCCGUGACGCAGAUUUGGGGAUCAGCACCUGCCGGGCCGA